rnacentral:snRNA from 1 species
AAAGGUGACCACAAAACAUCUAACUGCAUGACAUCUACCCACCCCAUUGAUCAUGCCUGGUGAUUCUGCAGAUCUGCCUACUUCAAUGCAUAUCCUUUUUCUCCCUCACCCCUCUGUGUAUAACCCUCCUUAAGCUGCAUGUGAUGUUGAAGGAUAACUUUCUCCAGUAGAGGAGGGCUGGUCUUUAGUUAAAGAUACAUGAGUAGCUGCAUUCCCUGAUAGAACCUACAAAAAAGCACAUAUUAAAAGUAUACAAAGAUGAAAGAUUU